rnacentral:lncRNA from 1 species
UUUAAAUAAUAAUUUUUAUGUUAUAUAUUAUUUAUUUGGUAUAAUGUCUUUUGAGAAUAGAUGGAAUUCUCCACUAUCAUCACGCACAUCUAAGGUAUUAAGAUUCUGGGCCGGGCGCGGUGGCUCAAGCCUGUAAUCCCAGCACUUUGGAAGGCCGAGGCUGGUGGAUCACCUGAGGCCAGGAAUUCAAGACCAACCUGGCCAACAUGGUGAAACCCCAUCUUUACAAAAAGUACAAAAAUUAUUAGCCGGGCAUCAUGGGGACUGCCUGCAAUCCCAGUUACUCAGGAGGUUGAGG